rnacentral:rRNA from 1 species
AUUGAACGCUGGCGGCAGGCUUAACACAUGCAAGUCGAGCGGGGUGAUGGUGCUUGCACUAUCACUUAGCGGCGGACGGGUGAGUAAUGCUUAGGAAUCUGCCUAUUAGUGGGGGACAACAUCUCGAAAGGGAUGCUAAUACCGCAUACGUCCUACGGGAGAAAGCAGGGGAUCACUUGUGACCUUGCGCUAAUAGAUGAGCCUAAGUCGGAUUAGCUAGUUGGUGGGGUAAAGGCCUACCAAGGCGACGAUCUGUAGCGGGUCUGAGAGGAUGAUGCGCCACACUGGGACUGAGAGACGGCCAAGACUCCGACGGGAGGCAGAGGUGGGGAAUAUUGGACAAGGGGGGGAACCCUGAUCCAGCCAUGCCGCGUGUGUGAAGAGGGCCUUAUGGUUGUAAAGCACUUUAAGCGAGGAGGAGGCUCUUUUGGUUAAUACCCAAGAUGAGUGGACGUUACUCGCAGAAUAAGCACCGGCUAACUCUGUGCCAGCAGCCGCGGUAA